UCAGCUCAUUGCAACCUCCACCUUCUGGGCUCAAGCAAUCCUCUUACCUUAGCCUCCUGAGUAACUGAGACCACAAGCAUGCACCACCAUACCAGAAUUUGCUCUAUCCUCAACGUUGCAAAAUGUCUGGGCAUAGGCUGUGUUGCAUUUCUCACGUACAGUAUGAGCAGAGAAGCUUACCCAUUCUGUUGCAGCAGGUCCAGAGAAGUCUCACUGAAGUGCUUUGGUUUUUAUUGAAUUGCAUGCUUAUUAUGUCUGGACAAGAAGAUGUGUACAUGAAGAGGAUGUUUUGAUAGGCCUGACCUGAGAGCUGUAUGCUCACAAUAAAAGCUAGAGACACAGUCAUUUGACAUUAAAACAACUGAGAAAAGAUGAUGAAUCUUGAGAAGAAAUUGGGAUAUUAUGUACAAAAGAGGCGUUAUAAUACUUUAUGGCCAAAACGAAAACAAAAGAAAAAAAAAGCAAGAAAACAAACAAAAUCAAAAAACAAAAAAACUAGCAAUGUUCCACCAUAAAGUUUAAAUGGAUCUUACUUUGGUUCAGACUUUAGAAACGAUUGACAUCUGGGUUAUGUAUAUUUCACUUCCCACGUUCUGCACGGUAAUCUUCUAAACUUUAGCAACUUAUCUUAUUAAUUCCUUUAGGCUUGAUAUGAAGCCUGCCCCAGAUAAGUGCCUCAUAAAAGAAGAAUAAACAAAUGAAUGAAUAAAAGCAAAUGCCAUACUAUAGACUUUUGAGUAAAAAGAUUUUCUCUACAACAUAUUAAAAGAAUGAACCAGCAGAACAAACUUCAAACUUUAAAACAAUGUUGUUUAAGUUAGUCAUGUCUGAGAUGAUAAAUAAAUCAACAGGAGAAAAGUGAACUUCAAAACAUGUAUCUUUAGGAGGAUUUGAAUUGGAAAACCACUGACACUUAAUUGCUAAAGUGACUUUGACUAGUUAUUCAUCUAUGGAAUAGGAAGAAAACUUACUUGAUCGUGUUGGCAUGAUGAUUAAACAUGACUUAUGUACAUGCAAGUGCUGAGCACUAGUCUAUAACCUCUAUGGGCAUUGCGAUCACUAUGACAUAUCCAGAGACUAGCUCAAUUUCUAGUACAUUGGAGGCACUUGAUAAAUGUUUCCUUAAUUUGAAAUCUGAGAACAGGACAUUAAGUUCUUUCACAUUAGAUCCAGCAGUUGAGAUACAUUUUGCUUGUGCUGCAGUUUUCUAUUAUGGAUAUGUAAUGUGUCUAAUAAAGAAAUGAGAA
rnacentral:lncRNA from 1 species